rnacentral:rRNA from 1 species
ACGAACGCUGGCGGCGUGCCUAAUACAUGCAAGUUGAGCGCUGAAGGUUGGUACUUGUACCAACUGGAUGAGCAGCGAACGGGUGAGUAACGCGUGGGGAAUCUGCCUUUGAGCGGGGGACAACAUUUGGAAACGAAUGCUAAUACCGCAUAAAAACUUUAAACACAAGUUUUAAGUUUGAAAGAUGCAAUUGCAUCACUCAAAGAUGAUCCCGCGUUGUAUUAGCUAGUUGGUGAGGUAAAGGCUCACCAAGGCGAUGAUACAUAGCCGACCUGAGAGGGUGAUCGGCCACAUUGGGACUGAGACACGGCCCAAACUCCUACGGGAGGCAGCAGUAGGGAAUCUUCGGCAAUGGACGAAAGUCUGACCGAGCAACGCCGCGUGAGUGAAGAAGGUUUUCGGAUCGUAAAACUCUGUUGGUAGAGAAGAACGUUGGUGAGAGUGGAAAGCCCAUCAAGUGACGGUAACUACCCAGAAAGGGACGGCUAACUACGUG